AGGGCAAGAAGAACAACACCCACCUCUUCACCAUCAACUAGAAAUUCAGCCAAUUGUAGGUGAAUGAGAAUCAAAAUCUUGUGCAUGUGAUGAGAUUCAUAACCAUCUAAGAAUUCUCUACAUAAGGGAUCAAAGAAGAAAGUUCAAGUCGCUCCGGAUCGCAAACGAACAACGACAAAGGUAAAGCAACUUGUUAACGGCGUUACUUGGAUCGAACACACUCAUGAUGCACGCUUCCGCGAAGAUCCUAGUUUUGGUUUAAACUUUUGUUAAGUGAUGUCUUUUAUUAAAAACGGGUCUUUUGUAAGUAUCUUAACCCGGUAGUCAUUAGAUGUUACACUAGUAGUUCAAGACUAUGUUAUUGGUUUUGAAACGUUUGGG